rnacentral:rRNA from 1 species
CACGUAAUCCACAAGUGGUAUCCACUCAUAUUGGGCCUAAAACGUCUGUAGCCGGUUUUACAAGUUUUUGGUGAAAUCAGUUCGCUUAACGGAUUGGCUUGCCAAAAAUACUGUUUUACUCGAGGUCGGAAGACGCCAAGGGAAUUUUCGGGGUAACGGUGAAAUGUUAUGAUCCCGAAAGGACCACCGGUAGCGAAGGCGCUUGGCGAGAACGAGCCUGACGGUGAGAGACGAAAGCUGGGGGAGCGACCAGGAUUAGAUACCCUGUUAGUCCCAGCCGUAAACGAUGUGGACUUCGUGUCUCGGUACUGUAAAGUGCCGAGGUGCGGAAGCGAAGGCUUUAAGUCUACUGCCUGGGGAGUAAGGUCGCAAGACUGAAACUUAAUGGAAUUGGCGGGGGCGCACUACAAGGGGUGGAUGCUGCGGUUCAAUUGGACUCAACCCCAGAAAUCUCACCAGGGCCGACAGCAGAAUGAUGGUCAGUCUGAAGGGCUUACCUGACACGCUGAGAGGUAUUGUAUGGUCAUCGUCAGCUCGUAUUGUGAAACGUCCUGUUAACUCAGGUAACGAGCGAGACCCACGCCUUUAGUUGCUAUUUACCUAUUUUUUAGGUAAAGCACUCUAAAGGGGACUGCCAAGGUAACUUGGANGAAGGAGUGGGCCACGGUAGAUCUGUAUGGUCCGAAUGCCCUUGGGCUACACNCGGCAUACAAUGGCUAAGACAAUGGGUGUCAAACCCGAAAGGGUAAGGUAAUCCCCUAAACUUAGUCUCAGUUCGGAUCGAG